rnacentral:RNase_P_RNA from 1 species
GUGCCACAGAAAACAGACCGCCCGGCCGGACCGGCACCCCCGUGGUGCCGCAACCCUGCCGGGUAAGGGUGAAAGGGUGCGGUAAGAGCGCACCGCGCCCCCGGCAACGGGGGCGGCACGGUAAACCCCACCGGGAGCAAGACCGAAUAGGGGCGGCCGGCGAGCGCGGCGGAUUCGUCCGUUCCGCGUCGGCGCAGAGGUUUUUCCGCCUCGCCGCCCGGGUUGGUCGCGUGAGGCGCGUCGCGAGGCGCGUCCCAGAGGAAUGGUCGUCCAUCGUCCGAGAGGGCGGUGACAGAACCCGGCUUACAGACCAUCUGGCGCC